GUCCCUGUAGCAUAAUAGGAAAAUGCCUUCGCCUCCUAAGCGAAAGAUUGGGUGUUCGAAUCACCUCAGGGACGCCA
rnacentral:tRNA from 1 species